rnacentral:tRNA from 1 species
GGAGAUGGCUCAGUGAUAGAGUGCUUGCCUAGCAUGCAUGAGGCCCUGGGUUCAAGCCCCAGUAUCACCA